AAGGCUUGGUGAGGACACUUUCUAAGCAUUUCCUUGAAUCUCUCCCAACUCUCAUAAAUAAAUUCCCCUUCUAAUUGAGUAAAAGAAGUAAUAUCAUUUUUAAGUUU